rnacentral:rRNA from 1 species
UGAGGAAUAUUGGUCAAUGGGCGAGAGCCUGAACCAGCCAUGCCGCGUGCAGGAUGACGGUCCUAUGGAUUGUAAACUGCUUUUGUACGGGAAGAAACCACUCUUCGUGAAGAGUAUUGACGGUACCGUAAGAAUAAGGAUCGGCUAACUCCGUGCCAGCAGCCGCGGUAAUACGGAGGAUCCAAGCGUUAUCCGGAAUCAUUGGGUUUAAAGGGUCCGUAGGCGGUUUUAUAAGUCAGUGGUGAAAUCCGGCAGCUCAACUGUCGAACUGCCAUUGAUACUGUAGAACUUGAAUUAUUGUGAAGUAACUAGAAUAUGUAGUGUAGCGGUGAAAUGCUUAGAGAUUACAU